GUGACGGAGAGAGUGUGACGGAGAGAGGGUGACGGAGAGAGGGUGACGGAGAGAGUGUGACGGAGAGAGUGUGACGGAGAGAGGGUGACGGAGAGAGUGUGACGGAGAGAGUCUGACGGAGAGAGGAUGACGGAGAGAGGAUGACGGAGAGAGAGUGACGGAGAGAGGGUGACGGAGAGAGGGUGACGGAGAGAGGGUGACGGAGAGAGGGUGACAGAGAGGGUGACGGAGGAGAGAGGGUGACGGAGAGAGGGUGACGGAGAGAGGGUGACGGAGAGAGGAUGACGGAGAGAGGGUGACGGAGAGAGGGUGACGGAGAGAGGAUGACGGAGAGAGGGUGACGGAGAGAGGGUUACGGAGAGAUGGUGACGGAGAGAUGGUGACGGAGAGAGGGUGAUGGAGAGAGGGUGACGGAGAGAGGGUGACAGAGAGGGUGACGGAGAGAGGGUGACGGAGAGAGGGUGACGGAGAGAGUGUGAUGGAGAGAGGGUGACGGGAGAGGGUGACGGAGAGGGUGACAGAGAGAGGGUGAAGGGAGGAGGGAAACAAGGGAGAGGAGGAGAAAAAGUAGGGCAGUUGAGGAUGAGAAGCAAAACUUAACUUUGGCAGAAUGAGGAAGAGGGUUGGCGGUGGGUUGGGGUUGGUGUCUGGGUUGGUGUCUGGGUUGGUGUCUGGGUUGGUGUCUGCCACCAGUACAGAUGGUGAGAGGGUAGUAUGGUAGUGCCAGGAGGGUUGGUGGUGUCUGGGUUGGUGUCUGCCACCAGUACAGAUGGUGAGAGGGUAGUAUGGUAGUGCCAGGAGGGUUGGUGGUGUCUGGGUUGGUGUCUGGGUUGGUGUCUGGGUUGGUGUCUGGGUUGGUGUCUGCCACCAGUACAGAUGGUGUGAGGGUAGUAUGGUAGUGCCAGGAGGGUUGGUGGUGUCUGGGUUGGUGUCUGCCACCAGUACAGAUGGUGAGAGGGUAGUAUGGUAGUGCCAGGAGGGUUGGUGGUGUCUGCCACCAGUACAGAUGGUGUGAGGAGAGUAUGGUAGUGCCAGGAGGGUUGGUGGUGUCUGGUAUGGUGUCUGCCACCAGUACAGAUGGUGAGAGGGUAGUAUGGUAGUGCCAGGAGGGUUGUUGGUGAGCUGGACACUCAUAGUCCUUUGUUGAAGUAGAUCCUCUCCACCCCGGGGUGGCUCGCACGGAUCUUCUCCUGAAGCUCUGGCUCCAAUCGGC
ensembl:lncRNA